UACGAAGGGUCCAAGCGUUGCUCGGAAUUAUUGGGCGUAAAGCGGGUGUAGGUGGUUUCUUAAGUCAGAAGUGAAAGCCCUGGGCUCAACCCGGGAAGUGCUUUUGAAACUGGGAAACUUGAGUGUGGUAGAGGAUAGUGGAAUUCCUGGUGUAGUGGUGAAAUACGUAGAUAUCAGGAGGAACAUCGGUGGGGAAGCCGGCUAUCUGGACCAACACUGACACUGAGAUCCGAAAGCGUGGGGAUCAAACAGG
rnacentral:rRNA from 1 species